UGGUGAGGUAAUGGCUCACCAAGGCGACGACGGGUAGCCGGCCUGAGAGGGCGACCGGCCACACUGGGACUGAGACACGGCCCAGACUCCUACGGGAGGCAGCAGUGGGGAAUAUUGCACAAUGGGCGAAAGCCUGAUGCAGCGACGCCGCGUGAGGGAUGACGGCCUUCGGGUUGUAAACCUCUUUCAGCAGGGAAGAAGCGAAAGUGACGGUACCUGCAGAAGAAGCGCCGGCUAACUACGUGCCAGCAGCCGCGGUAAUACGUAGGGCGCAAGCGUUGUCCGGAAUUAUUGGGCGUAAAGAGCUCGUAGGCGGCUUGUCACGUCGGGUGUGAAAGCCCGGGGCUUAACCCCGGGUCUGCAUUCGAUACGGGCUAGCUAGAGUGUGGUAGGGGAGAUCGGAAUUCCUGGUGUAGCGGUGAAAUGCGCAGAUAUCAGGAGGAACACCGGUGGCGAAGGCGGAUCUCUGGGCCAUUACUGACGCUGAGGAGCGAAAGCGUGGGGAGCGAACAGGAUUAGAUACCCUGGUAGUCCACGCCGUAAACGGUGGGGAACUAGGUGUUGGCGACAUUCCACGUCGUCGGUGCCGCA
rnacentral:rRNA from 1 species